AGCUUGCUACUGGACCUAGCGGCGGACGGGUGAGUAAUGCUUAGGAAUCUGCCUAUUAGUGGGGGACAACAUCUCGAAAGGGAUGCUAAUACCGCAUACGUCCUACGGGAGAAAGCAGGGGAUCUUCGGACCUUGCGCUAAUAGAUGAGCCUAAGUCGGAUUAGCUAGUUGGUGGGGUAAAGGCCUACCAAGGCGACGAUCUGUAGCGGGUCUGAGAGGAUGAUCCGCCACACUGGGACUGAGACACGGCCCAGACUCCUACGGGAGGCAGCAGUGGGGAAUAUUGGACAAUGGGGGGAACCCUGAUCCAGCCAUGCCGCGUGUGUGAAGAAGGCCUUAUGGUUGUAAAGCACUUUAAGCGAGGAGGAGGCUACUUUAGUUAAUACCUAGAGAUAGUGGACGUUACUCGCAGAAUAAGCACCGGCUAACUCUGUGCCAGCAGCCGCGGUAAUACAGAGGGUGCGAGCGUUAAUCGGAUUUACUGGGCGUAAAGCGUGCGUAGGCGGCUUAUUAAGUCGGAUGUGAAAUCCCCGAGCUUAACUUGGGAAUUGCAUUCGAUACUGGUGAGCUAGAGUAUGGGAGAGGAUGGUAGAAUUCCAGGUGUAGCGGUGAAAUGCGUAGAGAUCUGGAGGAAUACCGAUGGCGAAGGCAGCCAUCUGGCCUAAUACUGACGCUGAGGUACGAAAGCAUGGGGAGCAAACAGGAUUAGAUACCCUGGUAGUCCAUGCCGUAAACGAUGUCUACUAGCCGUUGGGGCCUUUGAGGCUUUAGUGGCGCAGCUAACGCGAUAAGUAGACCGCCUGGGGAGUACGGUCGCAAGACUAAA
rnacentral:rRNA from 1 species